rnacentral:rRNA from 1 species
GAUGAACGCUGGCGGCGUGCCUAAUACAUGCAAGUCGAGCGAACAGACGAGGAGCUUGCUCCUCUGACGUUAGCGGCGGACGGGUGAGUAACACGUGGAUAACCUACCUAUAAGACUGGGAUAACUUCGGGAAACCGGAGCUAAUACCGGAUAAUAUAUUGAACCGCAUGGUUCAAUAGUGAAAGACGGUUUUGCUGUCACUUAUAGAUGGAUCCGCGCCGCAUUAGCUAGUUGGUAAGGUAACGGCUUACCAAGGCGACGAUGCGUAGCCGACCUGAGAGGGUGAUCGGCCACACUGGAACUGAGAAACGGUCCAGACUCCUACGGGAGGCAGCAGUAGGGAAUCUUCCGCAAUGGGCGAAAGCCUGACGGAGCAACGCCGCGUGAGUGAUGAAGGUCUUCGGAUCGUAAAACUCUGUUAUUAGGGAAGAACAAAUGUGUAAGUAACUAUGCACGUCUUGACGGUACCUAAUCAGAAAGCCACGGCUAACUACGU